GCGCUUUUUCCUCCUCUCCUCCCCGCCUCUUGACUGAGCCCCUGCAGCCAGACUGCUCCGGAGGGGGACGAGGGAGGCGCAACGUCACCGGCGGGAGCUGACACUACAAUGCUACUGACACUAUCGCUGGGGGAGGCGAUUGGCGCGCGCCGGGCCGGGGGCGGGCGGAGGCCGCUGGCUGAGCGAGCGGAGCUCCAGCGCCCCCGCCCCGCGCUCGCCGCAGCCCGCCCAGUCCUCCGCGCGGCCGCGCCCCUCCCCCGCCGCCGCGAACGCCUCUCUUUGUUGUCUAAUGCGGGACCGGCAGGCUCGGGACACUUGCUCGCACCCAUCAACCGAGGACAGAUGGUGGAGGCAGAGCUGUGCCUGCAGGUGACUGCAGACGUUCAGUGAAUCACACGUCUUAGCCACAUGAAGGAUCAGCUACAGCUCUGAGCCGAGGAGUGCACAGGAAGCUGCCUGCCCUGAGGGGCCCAAGUGCCCUGCGGCUCAGGUCGCCCUCCACAGACCAGAAGGCCUCAGCAAACCUGCAGAGAUCAGCGUGGUCUUCUGAAGACAUCCGUGGAGUCGAAGGCCCUCCUGCGAGGCCAGGAGGGUGAUGAUUAUGGUGAAGAGAGAGGCCUCAAACUAUUUUGCACACAUCUUGCUUACUUUUGCAAAGUGAAUAGCUGGCAAAAGAAACUAAAAUCCUCAUGGGAACACCAGCGCACCCUGUGUCAACUCGUUGAACAUUCCCCGAGCACCUGCACGCUGUGUCACAGGCACAGCAGAACGUGCUGAUGACACAGAAGUGGACGAGGCAGAAGGCGCCUUCCCCUGGAACCCUGGUCACGUCCAAACCCGGCCACACAGCAGGCUGAGUGCCCAAAGAGGGUCCUGGGAACAUUUCCCAGUCGUGCUUCCCAAGAAUGAGGAGUGAGAAUUAACUGAGCCCAGUGCCUAGCGUGGAAUCAGCAUCGUGUCUAGUAGGAACUCGUUGUAGGUUGAACCCCUAUCUAGGAAGCUGGCGAAAACCAUAGAAGGUUAGACUCUCAAGAUGGUGGAGAGCGUGUGGCCACCUGACAGCGAGCACACAGAAGGCCAGCAACAGGGUGCGGCCGACCAGACACCAAGUGCUGGUCCUCAGCGGAGCCGGGCUGGGGGCCGGGGCUCUGACCUGCAUGAAGAGCUCUGCUCUUGCACAGUGUGAGGAGACCUGGGACUGCCUAGUGAGCCCCUCCCUGUUCCACAGGGUAAGCACAGGGCAGUCCCACUGUCAGAGUUGCCAGGUCAAACCGGGGAGGACCCCUACACCUGCUCCCAAAUCUGGGCAGAGCAUGAGGAAGGACAGCGAGCCCCGCUCGCCUCCCCCCCAGGCUCCUCCCCUGACCUGGACAGUGCCCCUUGGUGAAGGCGCUGUCUCAGAGCCGCGUGUCGCUGCUUGGGGGAGACGGGUGAGGCCCAGCAGCAAAGGUCCAGCCACAGCCAUGCUGUCUGCUCUAGAGGGACUGCCGUGUGUGGAAAUAAAACAAGGGGAACCGUGUGCAUUGGCGACGACACAAGUCAGUCACAGUGACCUGGGUCGUUGCUCAUCCCAGUCUCACAGUGUACCCAUAGGUCUUGCUGUCAUUUCUAUUACAUAAAUUGACUGCCCAAGGUCACAUUUCCAGGAAAAUUUGGAACUAGGAUUAGAAUCCAGUGACUCUAGAAUCCAAGCUCCAGCCAACCUUCUCAAACAGAAGUCUGUCCAGGAAAAGACAACCAGGGUUGGGAAAACACUCAAAAUUACGACGUGAGAGAAACAACGGAAGGGACUCUGACUCUCCUGACAGAGGAAAGUCUUGGGGUAAAAUGUGUUCCUCAGAGUUGAGAAUGACAAACAGACUUGAAACAACAGUAAUGAGUUAAAUAAAAUAAAAGAUAAAGUGUGCUGAGAAAUACAGUUUAAAAAAUCAGAAGUGGGAGGGGAUGGGGCCAGCCUGGUGGUGUAGCAGUUGGGUUCGCACGCUCUGCUUCGGCGGCCCAGGGUUCACCAGUUUGGAUCCCGGGUGAGGACUUAGGCAGCUUGUCAAGCCACACUGUGGCAGGCGUCGCACAUGUUAAAUGGAGGAUCAUGGGCGUGGAUGUUAGCUCAGGGCCAAUCUUCCUCAGCAAAAAAAAAAAGAGGGAGGAGAAUUAGCAGUGGAUGUUAGCUCAGGGCGAAUCUUCCUCAAAAAAUAAUUAAUAAAUAAUAAUUAAAAAUAAAAGUGGGAGGGGACAAUGAGAAAUGGAAGGAAUUGAUAGUUUUCCGAUAUUUGCACAACUUCUCAAUGGAACACUUGUUCCGUGAAACUCCAUGGGGCAGAACAAGGACAGAUGCUCCUGGAAGGCAGACACAGGCCCAGGGUAAGAACUUCCUUAAGCUCUGAGCUGCCUGCAGGUGGGGUGGCAUCUCACAGCGAUGCUCAUGAGGCCACUCGAUGGGGAGACGUCUGUGACAGGCGCGUGCACGGGCCGGCCGGCAGGUGAAUUCGCCAGUGCUGACAGUGAGUUUUCUACAGCUGGUCUGUGACAUUCACCAGUCACCCAGUCUCUGAGCUUCGGUUUUCUCAUCAGUAAAAUAGAAAUAUGAGCCUUAACUGAGGCGGAUGACACAUGUGGGCCCUUGAUUCUUGCCGGCAGGAUGGAGACAGCCUAGAGGGGUGUGGGGUUUCCUGUUUUCUUGUCAGUCAUCUCAUAAAGUGAUAGAAUGUAGAAUGGAAAAAGUAUUAAAAACUCUGUAGUCUUUUUCAAUACUUUAUGUGACCACACCUUCUCUGCUCUCAUAACUUAAAAAAAAAUAAGAAAUACUUUCAUAACCUAAAGAAUUUUGUGUGUACAUUAAACAUUACCCCAAAAAUCUAAAUGCUGAUUAAUGAGACACAGCUGUCAUGUUCUCACAAAUAACUGAACGAGUAGCCAGUUUAUCCUCGUGACAAAAUUAUUUCUUUCCCGGGCAUUUCAGUUGAAACAAUAAAAAUUGUGCCAACAAUGCUGUUGGUUUUUAGCUAAUAAUAGAAUCAUUUUGUUAUGUUAAUGAAAUAGAUCUUCUACAAUUUUAUUUAUUAAAAUUCUACAGUUAUCACUGUAGUAAAAUGUGAAUGCAGCCAAUGAACGCAGAUUCACUGACCCUGACAAGCAGAGAAAUUCGAGUGAAAGAAUGCUUUUGAGUGGGCGCAGCUGCUGGUAACGCUAUCGAUUUAGAAUAGAGGCCGAGAUGUAAAUUCCACGUCUCAGAAAAGAGAAAGGAAAUACAAUGUCUAGCUGGAAAAUUUUAAGGAGCAUUAUAAAUGGAAAGUAUAAUAAAAAUAAACACAAGCAUAAAACAACCAAGUAAAUAAAACAAGUACCAACAAGUUGGUGACAACAGAUAUGAGGAGAAUAUAGUCUUUGAAAAGAGGUUGAUUCUCAGCUGGGAUUUCACCUUGCAGAGGUCAAGGUCGUGGCCUCUGGGGCUGGGCUGCCUGGGUUUGGAGCUCCCGGCUCGGCCUUGUCUCUGUGGCCUGGAGAGCCAGGCUUCUCUCCCUGUGCUCAGUUUCCUCGUCUGUAAAACGGGCGCCUGUAGCCUCUGCCUCCCGGCCCGUGCGAGGAAUGGCAGGUGACGACGCUGGCAGAAUCCCGAGGUGGUGCCGUGUGACCGACGACUACGAACCAGAGGGGAAGCAGCCCUUGCUCUCUGUUGGGUUAAACUGUGCUGUGAGGUUGUGAAAAUUAAAACUGUAUCCUGGCAUCAGACGGGCGCUGGAUCCCUACAACAGACGUAAACCUUUAGAAACGAACCCACGUUGAAAAGCAUUUACUGUAUGACAAAGGUAGAAAUGCAAACGAGUGAGGGGAGAAACUGUUCUGAAAAUGGUGCUGAGAUGGCUGGUGUUUUGGAAGCACUAUGUUAAGUUGGCUUUUUCUUCCUAACCUCACGACAUACACCAAAAUAAAUUCCAGGUGGGCUAAGGAGUUUGACGAAUGAAAUCAUAAAAGAACUAAACGCAAACAGGUGACUUUUUCUCUAAUUUGGGGGCAGGAGAAAGGCUCUCUGGGCGUGACCCUAACAGUGGGAAUCACUGGGGAGAGGCUUAUGUGAAGAAACUGAGAACCGGCAGGACGGGAUAACAGACAGCGGGGCAUCCACAAGUGCGACGCACCCGUGUUGACCGCGGGAGGCGCAGAGAUAAGCCUGUGACAAACAGCCCUUGGCGAUGACCGGACAGCAGCCUCAGUCCCACACCCAGGACACGUGUGUAGACGCCUCCGCUCCCUCCAGGCCCUGCUUCCUGCCCUCACAUCCUUGGACACGCUGGGCUAGGUGCACAACCCUCAUGUGGAAGACCCAGUGGACUAUCUGGAGAGGGGUCCACACAGACUCCAAGGGGGCAGCAAGGUCGGGACGCUCUGAAGCACGGGGCCCAGGGCAGGGACCUCUUGUCUGACACAUCACAUAACUUAAAAGAGAGCGAUUUGAGUAUAAAAUAAAAAUUGCAAUGAGUGCUGUUGUCUCCGUUUUACACAUGGGAAGGAUUACAAGUAAACCCUAUUCUGCUGGACGGGACCCUUGUAAGUAUCUUCCACUUGUAGCAUUUCUCACUCGCUCCAACCUUCGUUGCUCCUCCCUUUAUUCUCUCUCUCCCUCCUUUCCCUCCUCUCUUCCUUCCCUCCUUCCCUUCCUUCUUUGCACACAUAUUUAGCGUGCCUGUGUGCCAGGCACUGCCGGGCCCUGGGGUUCGAGGAUAAUCAAGACAAAUGUGCUCGGGGGCCUUGCAGUCUGACGAGCAGCCUGGCGUCGAUCGUACACAAAUAAACGUGUAAUUACAAACCGGGCCUAGCGCGCAGCAGAUAAGCACGCACUGAUUUGUGGGUUGCCUUUGAUUUAAGGUUUCCUGCUGAGUCGGGGAGGAAUGUAAAUCUGUUUUUCUCUUAAAGCCAGAGGCCUCAUAUUUCCAGGAACCUCCGAAAUGGAUGCAUUUGGUACAGCUCACCAGCUCUGGGUGCGCUCCCUGCGAGCACGUGAGCUAAUUUCAUUGAAUCAGCUCUACUGCUUUAUUGCUGUAGAGAAACGUGGCCAAAAAUUUCAGAGGCGCAAAUUCCGGCAGUUUACAAGGCCAACUGUCCGCUUGUAGAAGGCGCGGGUUUUACGAGAGACCCCGACGCCUGAGUCUCCUGGAAACGCAGAGGGUGGGGUGGGAGACCCACUUUCCCGUGAAUGUCCACUUGUGACACAGCAAAGGCGAGAGUUGCGAGUCACCCGGUGUCCCAUGACUUUUCUCCGCGCGCCCCGCUCGAGACGAUUCCUAGCGAAGGCCCCUCAAGGUGUGGGGACGGUGACCGCUUUGGAACCAGCAGGCCCUCAGUGAGCAGGAGGCAGAGGGUGGGCCCGCUCCUCACAGCCACAGCGGCGAGAGGAGACUUUCCCACGACUGUCGCUCUUGUCCACGCGGAUGCGGCAGAGCACGUGGCCACCCCGUAGCUCUGUCCUGAAGGGGAGAAUCCUCCAAGGGAAACCCACUAGAGCCUUACCCGUGGCGAUCUGAAUUUCUGACUGCCCGUUGAUCUUACGUCUUCUCCCUAACGGUUUUCAGUUUCCAGUAAGGAGUAAAUAAAUCCCCAGGAAAUUCACCUUGGAAAAGGAACGAUGAUGUCUUCUCCUCCCCUGUCCCAGACCGAACAUUCAGCUUUUUAACAUUUUUAUCCCCCGCAGAGGAAAGCCUCAUUUCAAA
ensembl:lncRNA